UACAGAGGGUGCAAGCGUUGUUCGGAAUUAUUGGGCGUAAAGCGCGUGUAGGCGGCGUGACAAGUCGGGUGUGAAAGCCCUCAGCUCAACUGAGGAAGUGCGCCCGAAACUGUCGUGCUUGAGUGCCGGAGAGGGUGGCGGAAUUCCCCAAGUAGAGGUGAAAUUCGUAGAUAUCGUCAGGAACGCCGGUGGUGAAGACGGGUGACUGGGCUAGUUCUGACACUGAGGCACGAAAGCGUGGGGAGCGAACGGG
rnacentral:rRNA from 1 species